rnacentral:rRNA from 1 species
CCCUACUGCUAUCGGGGUGGGACUAAGACAUGCGAGUUGUGCGUCUCUAAGCUAUGGUAGAGACGCAGCGUACGGCUCAGUAACACGUGGCUAACCUACCCUUAGGACGGGGACAACCCCGGGAAACUGGGGUUAAUCCCCGAUAGGAGAAGACACCUGGAAGGGGUCUUUUCCCAAAAGGCGUUUAGGUCAUGCUUCUAGACGUCGCUCAAGGACGGGGCCGCGGCCGAUCAGGUUGUUGGUGAGGUAAUGGCUCACCAAGCCUAUAACCGGUACGGGCCGUGAGAGCGGGAGCCCGGAGAUGGGCACUGAGACAAGGGCCCAGGCCCUACGGGGCGCAGCAGUUGCGAAAACUCCGCAAUGCACGAAAGUGUGACGGGGCUACCCCGAGUGCCGUCCGCUGAGGGCGGCUUUUCCCCGGUGUAAGGAGCCGGGGGAAUAAGGAGAGGGCAAGUCUGGUGUCAGCCGCCGCGGUAAUACCAGCUCUCCGAGUGGUAGGGAUGAUUAUUGGGCUUAAAGCGUCCGUAGCUGGCCUAGCAAGUCUUCCGUUAAAUCCACCGAUUCAAUCGUUGGACUGCGGGAGAUACUGUUGGGCUAGGGGGCGGGAGAGGCCGACGGUAUUCUCGGGGUAGGGGUAAAAUCCUAUAAUCCCGGGAGGACCACCAGUGGCGAAGGCGGUCGGCUAGAACGCGCUCGACGGUGAGGGACGAAAGCUGGGGGAGCGAACCGGAUUAGAUACCCGGGUAGUCCCAGCUGUAAACGAUGCGGGCUAGGUGUUGGGGCGGCUACGGGCCGCUUCAGUGCCGCAGGGAAACCAUUAAGUCCGCCGCCUGGGGAGUACGGUCGCAAGGCUGAAACUUAAAGGAAUUGGCGGGGGAGCACCACAAGGCGUGAAGCUUGCGGUUU